rnacentral:lncRNA from 1 species
CUCUGAGUGCCAAAGAAGAGACAAGCACCCUUGAAAUUCCGCCCCAUCGAAGUGGGAAGCAGACCUCAGGGCUCUGUUCAAGUUCUGGAAGCCCUUGCCAAGUCUUUCUAGUCCAUUGUGGAUCUCUUCUUGCUUCUGGUAAGACCUUUUAUUUUGAAUCAAACACUGGAUGACUAAUUUACUGCCUUAGAUUA